GGAGUAAAGCCCUCUAUGUCUCAGUAAAACUGGUACAAUACCACCGGAAGAUUAUACAUCCAUAUUGGUCAUCACUGUAACACAUUACUGUUAUUCGUUAAGACUUCAUGUUUGUUUAUUGAUUUGCAGUGAUGUGAUAAUGAUUCUGUUAGAUGAUGGUGAGGAUAUAAUGUCAGUGUGUUGAUUUAAAAGUAUUAAAUUAUUGAUUAAACCAAUGAUAAUAGUCAUGGCCUGUUAAAAGUGAUUGACAUUUAGUACGUAACUGAAUGUCUUUCCUUUGGUAUUAUUUGAAUAAUGUCAUAAGGUCUGAUUGGCUACCCGCCAUCGUAGUCCCCCCUCCAACUUGGUAUUAUUAAGGUCUGAUUGGCUUCCCGCCAUCGUAGCCCCCCCUCCAACUUGGUAUUAUUAAGGUCUGAUUGGCUUCCCGCCAUCGUAGUCCCCCCUCCAACUUGGUAUUAUUAAGGUCUGAUUGGCUUCCCGCCAUCGUAGUCCCCCCUCCAACUUGGUAUUAUUAAGGUCUGAUUGGCUUCCCGCCAUCGUAGUCCCCCCUCCAACUUGGUAUUAUUAAGGUCUGAUUGGCUUCCCGCCAUCGUAGUCCCCCCUCCAACUUGGUAUUAUUAAGGUCUGAUUGGCUUCCCGCCAUCGUAGUCCCCCCUCCAACUUGGUAUUAUUAAGGUCUGAUUGGCUUCCCGCCAUCGUAGUCCCCCCUCCAACUUGGUAUUAUUAAGGUCUGAUUGGCUUCCCGCCAUCGUAGUCCCCCCUCCAACUUGGUAUUAUUAAGGUCUGAUUGGCUUCCCGCCAUCGUAGUCCCCCCUCCAACUUGGUAUUAUUAAGGUCUGAUUGGCUUCCCGCCAUCGUAGUCCCCCCUCCAACUUGGUAUUAUUAAGGUCAUUGCUUAAUGCGCCAGCAACUCUGAUUGGAGCAGAAGGAGUAAAGUAGUGCACUGCCACUGAAAGCACCUAACCAUGGAACCAUUAAGCUCCUAACCAUGAAAACAUUAAGCUCCUAACCAUGGGACCAUUAAGCUCCUAACCAUGGGACCAUUAGGCUCCUAACCAUGGGACCAUUAAGCUCCUAACCAUGGAAACAUUAAGCUCCUAACCAUGGAAACAUUAAGCUCCUAACCAUGGAAACAUUAAGCUCCUAACCAUGGGACCAUUAAGCUCCUAACCAUGGGACCAUUAAGCUCCUAACCAUGGAAACAUUAAGCUCCUAACCAUGGGACCAUUAGGCUCCUAACCAUGGAAACAUUAAGCUCCUAACCAUGGAAACAUUAAGCUCCUAACCAUGGAACCAUUAAGCUCCUAACCAUGGGACCAUUAAGCUCCUAACCAUGGGACCAUUAAGCUCCUAACCAUGUGACCAUUAAGCUCCUAACCAUGGAAACAUUAAGCUCCUAACCAUGGGACCAUUAAGCUCCUAACCAUGGAAACAUUAAGCUCCUAACCAUGGAAACAUUAAGCUCCUAACCAUGGAAACAUUAAGCUCCUAAC